rnacentral:rRNA from 1 species
UGGCGGACGGGUGAGUAAUGUCUGGGAAACUGCCUGAUGGAGGGGGAUAACUACUGGAAACGGUAGCUAAUACCGCAUAACGUCGCAAGACCAAAGAGGGGGACCUUCGGGCCUCUUGCCAUCGGAUAUGCCCAGAUGGGAUUAGCUAGUAGGUGGGGUAACGGCUCACCUAGGCGACGAUCCCUAGCUGGUCUGAGAGGAUGACCAGCCACACUGGAACUGAGACACGGUCCAG